rnacentral:tRNA from 1 species
GCCCAUAUUCAAUGCUCAGGCCAUUUCGCAUAAAGCAUCGGUCUUGUAAUCCGAUAGAUCCGAAAGGGGUUAAACCUCUUCCCACGCCU